CUAUUCCAAAAUCAAAAGUUAAACCAAAAGUGGAAUAAUAGAGAGAAGAUUAGCAUGGCUCCUAUGCAAAGAUGACACACAAAUUCGUGAAACAUUUCAUAUUUUU
ensembl:snRNA U6 U6 spliceosomal RNA